CCUUUCAAAAGUAAAGAAAUUCUUUCUUUCUUUGCGCAAAACUUCUUGUUGCAUUAGCAUCUUCUUCUCCUUCUUCUUCUUUUUGCCUUUUCCUCUCUCACGUAUUCUCACACACCAUUAGCAUACUUGCCCUUUUACAUACUCUCUUCAGGAGGAUGCUCUCAGUUCCAUGUGCCGACAGUACUUGACAUAAUCCGCGUGGGCAAAAGCCAA
ensembl:ncRNA F20B10.12 ncRNA